rnacentral:rRNA from 1 species
GAUGAACGCUGGCGGCGUGCCUAAUACAUGCAAGUAGAACGAGUGGCGGACGGGUGAGUAAUGUCUGGGAAACUGCCUGAUGGAGGGGGGUAACUACUGGAAACGGUAGCUAAUACCGCAUACCAUCAUAUGUGAUCGAAUGGGCUUUGCUAGUUGGGGGGGUAACGGCUGACCAAGGCGACGAGCCCUAGCUGGUCUGAGAGGAUGACCAGCCACACUGGAACUGAGACACGGUCCAGACUCCUACGGGAGGCAGCAGUGGGGAAUAUUGCACAAUGGGCGAAAGCCUGAUGGAGCCAUGCCGCGUGUAUGAAGAAGGCCUUCGGGUUGUAAAGUACUUUCAGCGGGGAGGCGUUACCCGCAGAAGAAGCACCGGCUAACUCCGUGCCAGCAGCCGCGGUAAUAC